UCGUUCGGGGAGCGAGCAGUCGCGUCACGACGUCUCCCCUAGCGACCCACCUUCCCCCGCAUGCCGAGUCGCCGACGGUUCCAUCUCUCCCGUCCCGACGAACUUCUCCUCUACAGCCCGCCGCCCUCCCCUCGCUCCACCCCGACCCUCGGGCCGCUCGCCUCCCCACCGCGCCGCCGCGGUCGCGCCAUCCCACCGAGCCCCCGACGCGCGUGGCACACCUCCGCACCAAGCAUCCCCACCGGCCGCCGCUUCGCCGUCGACCCGCAACCGCGGCGCCGCCGCAGUCCCGCCGCGUCUCCGCCCUCGCGCCAAGCCGCCGCCGGGCGUGGCCGUUCGCACUCGGGCCGCUAGCCUCCCCACCGCCUCCCCUCCGCCUUCUCCUUCAAACCCGCCGAGACCGCCGCCGCCGUACUCUCCUGCACGCGAUCCGGCGGCCGCCGCUUCCUUCAGCAAUCGAAUCCAAUCAAGUCCAAUCGGGGAUGGACACCACCCAGCUCGCCAUGUUUGAGGAGGUGGCCUCGCUCACCAAGGACAAUCUGCACAGCAAGCACCUCAUCCUCUCCACCGAGGAGGCUCUCAUCGCCGCCCUCCAGCAGCUUCGCUGCACCGACGCCGGCGACAGCGACGGUGGAGAGGAGGACGGUGCGGCGGACACCAUAUAGCUCCAGCCCGCCGGGGCUACCACCGCCUUCUCUUGCAUCGCCUUGCUGAAAUCUACGGGUUCGCACAUAAAUCGGUUGGUGAAGGCGAGGAUCGGCACUUGGUCCUCCAGCGCUGCCCUGAAACAACCAUCUAUGUUGGCAAGCUUGCUUGCAAAUAUCUGCCUUAUAAUGAUGUAUCCUUGACCUGUUGCCUGACAUAUUUAUACCUUUCCUGUUGUGUUUCGUAGAUCAUGUUCUGACAUUAGAUCACAAUCACUAUCGUACCACACCAUUAGUAUAUUUCAAGGAUCUAGGAUCUUUCUGCCACCACUUGAGGCUUGGAUGAAUGCAAGAUCAAUAGAAUUACAGCCAAUUACUCUACACACACAGAUGUUUAUUUCUUAACAUGUCUUUCCAAUUGUAUAACUAGACCCUGUGUAGGAUGAUGGUCUAUUUUAAUUUAUUAAUAAACAUGAUCACUUCAAUGGUUUAUAAUAUCUAUAUCUCAUUCUGUUCCUCAGAGAGCGGGAGCUGAAAUAAAACUGUUUUUGUCACUUGGAUCUCUGCAUAUUCUACUAGCAUGUGCCAAUUCAAGUGCAGCUUCUAAUCCUAGCAUAUUAUUAUGUGCUGCUUUCCUUGUGUUGGAAUUGCCUCUCGCUUGCAUUUUUUCUUUCUAUAUUAUCAUUAUCUAGAGAACUCUGCUGCGUAUCAUUGCUUGAGUAAAUCUUCAGCAGUUGUUCAUUUAGCCCUAGGUUGAAUUAGUUAUCUUGUUGUUGCAGCCCUCCUUUCCUUAUUAGUGAUAUGUUAUGGAAGUUUGAAACGGUGAUGAUUCCACAUCUGUUGAUGAUUCCAUAUCUGUUGUGCUAACCAGAAGUAAUACAGGAAUGGCAGAUUCAGGAAGAAGAAAUGGUAGUUCGAGCCCCACUUGGAGACCCACCAAACAACACCAAUGGAGGGACUAAAACAUGCACCGAGUUGGAGGCUACGGCCACUAGAAGUUAUCCUAAGGAACUAGAGAGAGAAAGAGGGAGAGAGCCCGAUCCGCAACAAUGUCCAUUGAACAGACAAAUGACAUGAACAAGAAGCGUCGUGAUUCAAUGUCUAAUGAAAAGAGGAAAGAGGAAUGACAGCAACAAGUAGCGUUCUGAGUUGUAUAAGGCUAAUAAAGGACAAUCAUUAUGUGAAAGUUUGCGUGCGGAUAUCGAUGAAUCUAGAAGUAUCGGUUCACUAAUGUCUGGUCAGUCACAGAUGCUUCAGAUUUCUAUGACUCCCCAAAACACUGGUCAAUUGCUCAAAGGUAAAAGGCAAAAUACUGAAUGCAAGGACCUGCCAAUGGCGAUCUCCCUUAGUGCGGUUUGGACUGCCACUUGUUCAUCGUGAAGAGAUAUGUCUUGUGAAGUAGUUAUAUAUAUUCUAUGAAACCAAUACCAUUGAGAAAGAGCAAUCUGUAUACUAAUCAUAUCAACAGAACAUAUAUACGGCACUGAUUUUGGGCUCUGCAUAUGGUGAGAAAGAGGUGAUGGCAUUGAUUUGUGA